rnacentral:rRNA from 1 species
UGGGGAAUUUUGGACAAUGGGCGAAAGCCUGAUCCAGCAAUGCCGCGUGUGUGAAGAAGGCCUUCGGGUUGUAAAGCACUUUUGUCCGGAAAGAAAUCCUUGGCUCUAAUACAGUCGGGGGAUGACGGUACCGGAAGAAUAAGCACCGGCUAACUACGUGCCAGCAGCCGCGGUAAUACGUAGGGUGCAAGCGUUAAUCGGAAUUACUGGGCGUAAAGCGUGCGCAGGCGGUUUGCUAAGACCGAUGUGAAAUCCCCGGGCUCAACCUGGGAACUGCAUUGGUGACUGGCAGGCUAGAGUAUGGCAGAGGGGGGUAGAAUUCCACGUGUAGCAGUGAAAUGCGUAGAGAUGUGGAGGAAUACCGAUGGCGAAGGCAGCCCCCUGGGCUAAUACUGACGCUCAUGCACGAAAGCGUGGGGAGCAAACAGGAUUAGAUACCCUGGUAGUCCACGCCCUAAAACGAUGUCAACUAGUUGUUGGGGAUUCAUUUCCUUAGUAACGUAGCUAACGCGUGAAGUUGACCGCCUGGGGAGUACGGUCGCAAGAUUAAAACUUAAAGGAAUUGAC